UACGGAGGGGGGCGAGCGUUAUUCGGAAUUAUUGGGCGUAAAGGGCUCGUAGGCGGCCAACUAAGUCAGACGUGAAAUCCCUCGGCUUAACCGGGGAACUGCAUCUGAUACUGGAUGGCUUGAGUUCGGGAGAGGGAUGCGGAAUUCCAGGUAUAGCGGUGAAAUGCGUAGAUAUCUGGAGGAACACCGGUGGCGAAGGCGGCAUCCUGGGACCGACACUGACGCUGAGGAGCGAAAAGCCCAGGGGGAGCAAACGGGG
rnacentral:rRNA from 1 species